GAUGAACGCGGCGGCGUGCUUAACACAUGCAAGUCGAACGAGAGAUACAGGAGGAAGUUUUCGGACGGAAUCCGGUAGAUCGAGUGGCGGACGGGUGAGUAACGCGUGGGGAACCUGCCUCAUACAGGGGGAUAACAGUUGGAAACGACUGUUAAUACCGCAUAAGACCACAGAGUCGCAUGACUCAGGGGUAAAAACUCCGGUGGUAUGAGAUGGACCCGCGUUCGAUUAGCCAGUUGGCGGGGUAACGGCCCACCAAAGCGACGAUCGAUAGCCGAUUUGAGAGAAUGACCGGCCACAUUGGGACUGAGACACGGCCCAAACUCCUACGGGAGGCAGCAGUGGGGAAUAUUGCACAAUGGGGGGAACCCUGAUGCAGCGACGCCGCGUGAGUGAAGAAGUAUUUCGGUAUGUAAAGCUCUAUCGGCAGGGAAGAAGAUGACGGUACCUGAU
rnacentral:rRNA from 1 species